CUUCUGGAGAGACGGCGGAGGGUUAGUCAGCGUGGGAAGUGCCAGAUUUAAGAUAGCCACCGGAUCGGUGAGUAAAACUUAUAGCCCCUCGGGGGAUUGACCAUCGAUCGGAUCGGCCGCGUUAGAUUAGGUAGUUGGUGGGGUAACGGCCUACCAAGCCUACGAUCUAUAGCUGGUUUUAGAGGAUGAUCAGCACACUGGGACUGAGACACGGCCCAGACUCCUACGGGAGGCAGCAGUGGGGAAUCUUAGACAAUGGGCGAAAGCCUGAUCUAGCCAUGCCGCGUGUGUGAUGAAGGCCCUAGGGUCGUAAAGCACUUUCGCCAGGGAUGAUAAUGACAGUACCUGGUAAAGAAACCCCGGCUAACUCCGUGCCAGCAGCCGCGGUAAUACGGAGGGGGUUAGCGUUUGUUCGGAAUUACUGGGGCGUAAAAGCGCACGUAGGCGGAAUCAGAAAAGUAGGGGGUGAAAUCCCAGGGCUCAACCCUUGGAAACUUGCCUCCUAAACUCCUGGGUCUAGAGUUCGAGAGAGGUGAGUGGAAUUUCCGAAGUGUAGAGGUGAAAUUCGUAGAUAUUCGGAGGAACACCAGUGGCGAAAGCGGCUCACUGGCUCGAUACUGACGCUGAGGUGCGAAAGUGUGGGAGCAAACAGAUUAGAUACCCUGUAGUCACACGUAACGAUGAAUGCCAGUCGUCGGGCAGUAUACUUGUUCGGUGACACACCUAACGGAAUAAAGCAUUCCGCCU
rnacentral:rRNA from 1 species